ensembl:lncRNA
AGAAUAAGCAUUUAUUACAUUUUUGGCCAGUACUACACUUUACAUAAUAGCACAAAAAUUAAAGUGCAGUCACCAUGCAGAAUUUAAAUGAUCACAAGUGCAUGUUCCCAUUAGACCUACCUUUUUCAACAGCAGAAUUCUCAUCAUCUGUAUUUAAAAACCCAAAGUACAGCAGCUUUCCUUUACCUGAUUACAGUUUUUAAUAUCCAGGUUGCAUUAAGGAAGAUAAAUUGCCGUCCCAGCGCAAUCUGACUGUUAACACAGAGACGAUCUAUUACAAUAUCAGCUUUUGUCCAUGUCUCGUCUAAUUAGAUUCUCAAAUGGAUACUGGAUCAAUCAAUAAUUUUAAUUUCGCCUGCCUCCUUUUCACCGCAUAUUCGCCGUUUGGUUUUUAACGGAAAACAAAACGACAGAACAAAAGGCAGUAAUUUAUUCGGAACGAGCGCCGCUUACUGCAGAUGAGCUCGGUAACAGACUGCGGGCUGCAGACUCGCAUCGCUCUAAUUAACAUGCAGAUAUGCAUCACCUCAUUGGCAAUUCAAAUUGCGCUUCCCUGUAAUGUACCUCAAAAUUGUUCUACUUCAAACAUUGCAUUUGAUUUGCAAAGCCCCCUGGGUAUCCCAUAAUGUCUCCCUUUAUCCAGACCAUCAGGCGUUUACUGAACAAUCUGCUCUGACUCAACUCCUCCAACAGCUUGCCUUCCCCAAACCCAGUCUGGUUGCUCUGGUACAGGCUUUGUCCUCUCCUUGGCAGGUUUCCUGCAUGGCAUCCUACGCUGUUAAAUAUGGUGGCUUUCCGGAAGACUUCAUUUCCAUGGCACACGGACAGGCAGGCAGGCGGACGCGUGUCUGUCUACUCAGCACAUUAUUAGCAUGCAGUGCAUAUCCACAGUCAUGAAUGCCAGCCUCCCAUUAGGCUCUGUUUUGGUCCCUCCCACGCUCCCGUUUGCGGAAGUUCUGAUUAUUGCGUAUGGAGUGCACGUGAGUGCUCCGCUCGCUGCCGAUGGCAGGGGGCCCAGAGGAGCAACAAGUGGCAGAAUCUGCAGUGUGCAGUUUUUCAGUGUGUUCGCAGCGGCAGGGCUGGCAUGGCGCCAGAUCUGCCAUCUGCUUCCUUCACACGCGCUUUUCCUUCCUGCCAAUUUGCUCAUGACGUUAUGUGCCUCCUGUCCUCAUUUGCGUGUCAGAUACUGGCAGCACACGUUCCUGCCCCCACCUCAGUGAGGGUUCUCCAAGGGGCAGGUGGCAUGUUGUCGGGUCCACGUUGGUCAACGACCACGAAAUCACGCAGGAGAAAAUUUUGCAAAUAAAUAAUACUUCUCCAAAAAAGUCCUUGUGUUAAUGAUUCUUGUUGUUUUUUUGUAGCCAUAUCCUCUAGCAUUCUCCAUUGGUGAGUUCAGUGUGAGCGUUGAAAUGGAUCCUGCUCACAUGGGAACUUUUCCUGCCUGUGAAGACCAGUAUUGUUUUCCCGUCGGGAUGCUGCCAGUGUACACACUCAGCCAUUAAGCUCCUUACAUGGUUGCUCGCUACAGCCGUCUGCUCCUACCUCCACGAGCUCUGCCACCUAGCCAGAAGGAGGGAAUGCUGUGGGAUCUAAUGCGCACGAGCCGUUUGAAGCUGCGGAAAAGUGAAUAAUCAAUUAAGUAUUGAUUUCUUGUAAGAUUUUGUAAAUUUCAAGGCAAGACAAAGAGGAUAGCUUAAGGGAAGAGCAGCAGGGACUUGGUGUAAAUUAGCCAACAAACAGCACGGCGGAAUAAACUAACGGCUCAUCAGGAUCAGUCUCUCAUCGCUCCUGACGGAAUUAAUGCUAGUUUGCGUGAAGACAAUGCCGCUUUUUUAAAUGAGGAAGGCUGGCGAACGAGACCUUAACCCAGCCGCGCAGAGCCGGGCUAAUUACACUUCCCGGCACAAUGGAGCUCAUUUGAAUGUGGCUAUGCAAAUCGCACGCAGCUCAUUUUUAUGGAUCAGAAAGCCAGCCAUGUCGGGAAGAAUUAAAGGCUAUUAUGCGUGCAAAGCAGUUUAUUCCCCCCCACCCCUUACAUGAGGGAAAAUACACUUGAAAAUGAGAGAAGCAUUGGACUGUCUUCAUAACUCAACACAAAAGAUCACACAAGAAACCUUCAAAGGACUCAAAGUGUUUCUUCUCUUUUUUUUUCUAUAAAAACGUGAUCAAAUAUGCGCGUGUCAAGCCCAUUACAAUGAUCCGUGGAUACUGAUGGCGUCCUUUCCGAUUGAUAAUUAUCGUCGCUGGCACACGGAGCCGCGCUGGCAUGGAUGGGGAAAAAACAAGAGGGAAAAUAAAACCGGUGCGGACUGGGAAGCAGACGAAAUGAGCAAAGUUCUGCUUGUCUUUAUUCCGCCACAGAUUACUCCAGUGCCACCUCGUUCGAAUAUGCAAUUCUGCGCUUAAAAGAUAAGAAAAAGCACUCUUGAGGCAGCCAAGGGCAAUUAAUGAGCUGGUGUGGAUGAAUCAAUGCUGGAUGUUGCCAUGUUUCUCCUUGUUUCUUCUCCCACCGAAGCAGUUCAGGAACCUCCGUGCCGUCCUCCACCGGCUGCCGUCUGUGUUUGUGGAUUCUCCAGCCUUUCCAGCCGGGCGCGUGCCUCUGUUUUGCAUAUAUGCAUACGCUGUGUGGCGCUGGAAUGAAGGGGGCAUGCUAAACAAGCAAAUUUACAUGUCUAUGCAUAAUGGCAGGGGGCGCAGAGGAGGGCGCGUGCUGGCAGGGCUGAGGGAGGAGGGGAGAAGUACAAGAGGAUGUGAUGUAGGGAAACACCUGCACUGAAGGAUCUUGGAGGAUCUUGUAGAGGAACAUUAUGACAAGCCCCUGACAGCUACCCCCCCCCACAUCCUUCUCGUGGGAACAUACCAGGAGGUGUGGCAUGAUUACGUCUCCUCGCCUUGCCCACGUGGAAACGUACCUCGCUGGCACAGAUUGGACGGCUCUGCUGAGUGUGGCACUGACAGUCCUGUGGGAAGCCCACUGCUUCAUUCACGCUUUUUCUCUCACGGGUCUUGGAUGGAUGGUAACUGUGACUGUGUGAAUGGACAUUUAUGGAUGCAUUGUGAAAAUUGUUCUUCGUUCUGGAAGUUUAAACAAACAGGAAAUUACCUUUUUUCAGUAGUGUUUUCAUAUUGAAUAUUAUAUAUUUCAUAUAAUAUAUUGAAGGCUUUUUCUGGUUCUUCACUUGCUGGGUAAAAUUUUGGACACACUUGACUGAAUUUGUUUCUCAUUUUCUUAAAAUCCUUUUUAAUCUCCAGACUAAUGAUUUAACAAAUAUACAUUGCACUGCAUACUUAUUUACAGUGAAACACAAUUUUUAUCAUUUUCUUUUUUUAUGAAAAAGUUGAAUCAAGCAGUGAAGGAAAAGCAGCCAGCACAAAUGGGAACUCCUUCAGUACUGACGUAAAAGCAUCCCAGGAUGCACCCUGUGAAGCUAGCUGAGAGCUGGAAUCUGGCUAUAUUGAGAAAACAUUGUCCCAUAGUACUAUUUCUGUUUCUUUUUUUUUCAUGUUGAUCCCUUUACUAUUGUUAUAUAACGUGAUUAGUACAACUAUUAGUCUUUAGCUAGUUAAACUAGUGGCCACAACAUAUUUUAUUUAAUAAUAAUAAUAAGAAUUAAAUUAGAAUAUUUUAUUUAAAUAAGGCAUUGGGAUUCCUCACUUUAAGUCAACUAAUUGCAUUUUCAACUGUUGUGUUAUUACUAUUAAUAGUAAUGAUAAAGAAUGGUUUGCUGUGUCCAAAGUUUGACUGGUACUGUUUGCUUUCAGGAGGAUGCAUUAUGUACACUCUCAGUUGUAUAACUGAAGCAAAAUGUGCAGAGUUCCCAUCUGAUCACAGUAUAUUACUAUACAUACUCUUAUGGUGCACAGAAAUGUGUGCUACACAGUUUAUAAUUUCCAUUUCUUCACUCAGCAGGUGCUUUUAUCCAAAGUGCCUCAUAGUUUGUUCCUUCCGAAUCAAAACUUUGUCCUUGGCAUCAUUAGUAUCCUGCUGUGGCAGUUUAGCUAUGUGUGUGCUAUGAUGUGAUGACUUGAAUGCAUUCCCAGAAGUUUCCAUAAAGCGUAUUUAAAACGCUUGGUUCUAAUAAAAGUGAAUAUUAAGUGAUACAAACACUUUGCUAUUGUGGCCAAAGGCUUACUGAAUCAACCUCCACUGUGUUUUUUUUUAACACCAAUUGUUGUUUGCACACAAUUAUCUGAAAACUGAUCAUAUCUGUGGCUAAUGAAAUGCAGUCUUCAGUCUGUGGCUCUUGAGAUCACCUUUGUGAUUCAAUCAGUCUUAUGUGCAAAUGAAAGUAAUUUAAAGGAUAAAGCAAAGCAUUAAUGAUGAGGUCAUUUACAGCAGACUCAUUAAAACACUAUUAUAUGCAAUUUCCUGUAACAAAUUUCAUUCCGAAGAAACAUUACAUUGGAUAUAAUAAACUAGCUUACUGCCGUUUAAUACAAUUAGUGUAACAUAAUGCCAUUAUGAGCCUGAAAUAGAUGCUGUCGCACAGAAGCAACAGCACUAACCUCUGUCUAAAUGAAAGAAUAUUAAAGUCAGCGGCGGUAUGACGUCUCUUUGUAAUAGCCAUGUCUGGGGUGCAAUAUGACAGCAGAAAUAUAAUGUUUCAUAACUGACAGUCUCUGGGUUUGUGUUGCCUGAGGUCGCAUGGGGCGAACAAUAAAGAGUAAUUUGAUUGAUGGAAAAUUGGAGUGGCCCAUCCAACAUGUUUCACCCGAGGCCUCGCUAUAGCAUGUACACUGGCUGAUGAUGAUUCACGUUUUCAGAAACUCCAUUUGUUUUGUUCGGAUCUGUUGCUGUAUCUGGCGUAGGGGUUCGUCUUUGAUAUGAGACUUUAAUUGUGCGGCACGGACGCAUAUUAGAGGUGUAAUUGAAUAAAAUGAAAGAAACAAAAAAGGAGAAACCCGAAGAUGGAUUGAGUAAGGGCUCUUUCUUUUAUCAAGACGCCCAGGGAUCUUUUCACACUCUCCCUCUCUCUCUCUCUCUCUCUCUCUCUCUCUCUCUCUCUCUCUCUCUCUCUCUCUCUCUCAGGCUGCGGUGUCUGGACUCUCUUCCUCUGAGUCAGCCAUGACAUCAGCAGCAGUAAAAACAGUUGUGAGUGAUAAAU